UUUCAUUAGCAUACCACUGUAAUCAUAAAUGAUCUCACCUGCUUUCAUAAGUUAAGCAGGGUUGGCCCUGGUUAGUGCUUGGAAUGGAAA
rnacentral:rRNA from 1 species